CAAGAGUUGGAUGCUUAACUGACUGAGUCACCCAGAUGGCCCAAUAUAUUUUUCCCUUUUAGAUUAAGCUCCCUGUUUCUUUGGCUAUAUCUGUUAUUCCACUCUAAACUUACUUCAAUUUGUCUUUAUCUUUCCAAUAGCCACGAUCCCCAAAACACUACAAGAUUUCAGAGUCAUUAGUUGCAAGCCCCCGUGGGGCAGAAAUUAAGCUCCUGAUUUUUGUUCUAUUUUCCCACUGUGUCUGUGCAGCCCCCCUCACACAGGAGGCAGAAGACAAAUGUUCCCUGACUCAUCCUUUCAUUCGGGCUGUUUCUCCCCCAGGACAGUGGGAGUGUUCACAUACCUUGCAAGCAAAGACUAAGAUUCGGGACCUCUCUUACCUUCUAAAUAACAGUUAGUUACAUCAUAUUUUUGUAAUAUUCCCCUGCUGACCUGAAGCCAAUUUACUUCUCAUGCCUGUGUUUCUCCAUCAGCUCUGGAAAAAAUCCAGAUAUGUAACAUAAACUCUUCUCUGACCCUAAAUUUGCUUGAUUGCCAAUGGAAGGAUUGGAAGCUGGUCGGAAAAGGCAUCUUAACCUUGGCACUAUUUCCUCCAGCAACUUAGACAUUCCUUUUUAAAAUUAACAGUUUCUUGCCAUAAGAUGCCCAGAAGGUUUCAGUAGCAAAACCACGCUGACAAUAGCUGCAGGGUUAGCUAAGCAAAUACAUACUGUAUCUCCUAUGGGAAACGGGUAUGGGAAGGGGAAGAAGUCUGUGUGGAUUUAAAAAAAAAAAAAAGGUGACUUUUUCUAAUCAUGCCUAACUAUCCCUUUUUUGUAAAACAGUUGAGCUGUUAACUUCUAUGCUAAGGCACGUAUGCACUUUGGAAAGGUAAUUUGAAAGCGAGUUGAGCCAUGACAAAUAGGGACAGCUGGCCUAAUUGAAUCAUUUGAUCUAAGACAGCUCAACUUGGUUAUCCUCACUGCAGCCCACACUGAUAUUAGCGAGUGAAUCAUUAGCCAUGAAAUCAUGUCGACUUUCCCGACUGCAGCGUUCUUGACAUGACAGCGAUCGCAGUCUGCCUUUCAUUAUAGCCCCAGUAAGUUCUUUCUUCUGUCAGGAAAACAACAAAGCAGCUUGGAAAACUUUUAGGCUCGGCUUCAGAAAGUCAUUUGCUCCAACAUGCCACAUAGAGCAUUUCAAAGAAAGACAGGGCGUGAGUUAGCUACAGGAGCAAGCUAGGUGCACCUAAGCAAGUUCAGCCAGGCUGGACGCCCUGAAGCCUCUCCAGCAUCCAUACCUGCAGGUAAAAGGCAAGAGCAGCUUUCUUUUGUAAGCACCAGUUUAUGGUCACUUGGGAAAGUGGACUCUAAAUGGAGUAAUGAUAAAUACUAUAACACUUGACCUACAGACAUCCCUAAUGGGAGUCUUCAUGUAGAGAGGACAUUCCUGUCAUCUUUAAUUUAGUUUUUGCAAAAGGAAGGAAAGGGGCGAGUCCCUCUUUUCACUCUAUUUGUCAAAGGUGGUGAGGCAUCUAAGAGAGCUCAAAUGGAGGCACCAGUCCACUGAAAUGUGGAACAAAUCUUGGGUCUUCCCAGCACUCAAGCUGUAUCUCUCUAACUUGCCCCCUCACAACUAGACUCCUUCUUAGGUCCUCCUCUCAAGACUGCACCUGAGGGUGCAUUGGCCUCAAUUCCCACUACAGACAGAGACUGAGACAAAGGCUUGUGAAAAUCCAGAGGGGCGAGACAAAGGAGAGAAAGCCAACACAGGAUGCAUCAGCCUUUGCUUCGAGCAACUCUGCUUGAUCCUCUGGAGCCUUCUGAGAGGUUACACACGUGUGAGCUAUGAGCGCUUUCCUUGGCUGUCCCCCACGAAGCAUCAGCAACAUCCAGUACAGCCAACCAAAGCACCAUCCAGCUGCAGCUCCACAAGCCUUGCAAAAGUCUGCCUAAAACUGGCCUAUCAGCUUAAGAGGAAAGAAAAUCAAGCAACUUCAGCAGCAAAUACACUGCUAGGUGGUGGCAGAGUAGAUUCCUGAACUUAGACCUUGCUCCACUUGCCUGUGAACUUGGCCCUUGAGAUCAGUUUCACCAUCUCGUGGCACACCAAGAGUGACUGGACAUCUAGAGUGGGCCAUUUUGUAAACCCUACCCCCAAAAUAUUUUCAUAGUAACUGUAACAUGAAACAAAGAUAACAGCCAGAAAAGAACUGAAGACAAUUAAACAAAUUUUAAUGUACUACAUAAACGUAAUUUU